rnacentral:rRNA from 1 species
CCUACGGGGGGCAGCAGUGGGGAAUAUUGGACAAUGGGGGCAACCCUGAUCCAGCCAUGCCGCGUGUGUGAAGAAGGCCCUCGGGUUGUAAAGCACUUUCAGUGAGGAAGAACGCCUGGUGGUUAAUACCCAUCAGGAAAGACAUCACUCACAGAAGAAGCACCGGCUAACUCCGUGCCAGCAGCCGCGGUAAUACGGAGGGUGCGAGCGUUAAUCGGAAUUACUGGGCGUAAAGCGCGCGUAGGUGGCUUGAUAAGCCGGUUGUGAAAGCCCCGGGCUCAACCUGGGAACGGCAUCCGGAACUAUCAAGCUAGAGUGCAGGAGAGGAAGGUAGAAUUCCCGGUGUAGCGGUGAAAUGCGUAGAGAUCGGGAGGAAUACCAGUGGCGAAGGCGGCCUUCUGGACUGAUACUGACACUGAGGUGCGAAAGCGUGGGUAGCAAACAGGAUUAGAUACCCGAGUAGUC